GGUCCCUUCGUCAGCGGCGGACGGGGCUGAGAUUACGUGGGUAACCUGCCUGUAAGACUGGGAUAACUCCGUGAAACCGGGGCUAAUACCGGAUGCUUGAUUGAACCGCAUGGUUCAAUCUGAAAGGUGGCUUUUAGCUACCGCUUACAGAUGGACCCGCGGCGCAUUAGCUAGUUGGUGAGGUAACGGCUCACCAAGGCGACGAUGCGUAGCCGACCUGAGAGGGUGAUCGGCGACACUGGGACUGAGACACGGCCCAGACUCCUACGGGAGGCAGCAGUAGGGAAUCUUCCGCAAUGGACGAAAGUCUGACGGAGCAACGCCGCGUGAGUGAUGAAGGUUUUCGGAUCGUAAAACUCUGUUGUUAGGGAAGAACAAGUACCGUUCGAAUAGGGCGGUACCUUGACGGUACCUAACCAGAAAGCCACGGCUAACUACGUGCCAGCAGCCGCGGUAAUACGUAGUGGCAAGCGUUGUCCGGAAUUAUUGGGCGUAAAGCGCGCGCAGCGGUUUCUUAAGUCUGAUGUGAAAGCCCCCGGCUCAACCGGGGAGGGUCAUUGGAAACUGGGGAACUUGAGUGCAGAAGAGAGAGUGGAAUUCCACGUGUAGCGGUGAAUUGCGUAGAGAUGGGAGGAACCCCAGUGGCGAAGCGACUCUCUGGUCUGUACUGACGCUGAGGGC
rnacentral:rRNA from 1 species